CUCAGGUUCUGCUGGUUCUGCUGGUCAGACGUCUGGUCCACCACCGCACUCUUCGUCAGGAUCGUCGUACGGGGACUCUGGUUGGGAUCGGUCCUCGGCGCCAUGACUCUCAGCGCCUUUGGGAGCUCGAUUGGCUGCGCCUUCCUUCCGCUGCGUCCUCUAGCCAGUCGGACAUCACCACCCCUUUUGCUUCAGCUGCCACCUCCACCACAUCCUUCGCACAGUGGCAUCAUCAAUUGGGUCACAUUUGUGGCUCCCGCUUGUCUUCUUUGGUUAGGAGUGGUGUUCUAGGGUCUGUAUCUGGUGAUAGUUCACUAACUUGUAUGGGUUGUAAGCUUGGCAAGCAGAUACAACUUCCAUAUCCCUCUAGUAAUUCUGUUUCUCAACGACCUUUUGAACUUGUUCACUCUGAUGUAUGGGGUCCUGCCCCCUUUGUUUCGAAAGGGGGUCACAAAUAUUAUAUAAUUUUCAUUGAUGA